rnacentral:rRNA from 1 species
AUUGAACGCUGGCGGCAGGCCUAACACAUGCAAGUCGAGCGAGUGGCGGACGGGUGAGUAAUGUCUGGGGAACUGCCCGAUGGAGGGGGAUAACUACUGGAAACGGUGGCUAAUACCGCAUACUCUCGGAUGUUCCCAUAUGGGAUUAGCUAGUAGGUGGGGUAACGGCUCACCUAGGCGACGAUCCCUAGCUGGUCUGAGAGGAUGAGCAGCCACACUGGGACUGAGACACGGCCCAGACUCCUACGGGAGGCAGCAGUGGGGAAUAUUGCACAAUGGGCGCAAGCCUGAUGCAGCCAUGCCGCGUGUAUGAAGAAGGCCUUAGGGUUGUAAAGUACUUGCAGCGGGGAGGCGUUACCCGCAGAAGAAGCACCGGCUAACUCCGUGCCAGCAGCCGCGGUAAUUC